GCCGACGUAAUCAUUGCCAUAGUGCCAAAAUAAGGUACCUGGUAAUGAUAUGUGCAACUAGAAAGUCGCUGAAUGGCUCAGUGAAACUAUCGAUAUGAUCGGAAAGUUCAUCGAGAUUUGAUGCGUGGUGUGAGGGACGAUGUGCUUAGAGGUAGUACAUCGUUUCCAUCAGUACAGGGUUGACGUCCCUCUGCCACUCAUUGUCAGAGAAAGGAGUGGAGCCA
rnacentral:misc_RNA from 1 species